GAUGAACGCUGGCGGCGUGCCUAAUACAUGCAAGUCGAGCGAACAUAUUAGGAGCUUGCUCCUCUGACGUUAGCGGCGGACGGGUGAGUAACACGUGGAUAACCUACCUAUAAGACUGGGAUAACUUCGGGAAACCUGAGCUAAUACCGGAUAAUAUAUUGCACCGCAUGGUUCAAUAGUGAAAGACAGUUUUGCUGUCACUUAUAGAUGUAUCCGCGCCGCAUUAGCUAGUUGGUAAGGUAACGGCUUACCAAGGCAACGAUGCGUAGCCGACCUGAGAGGGUGAUCGGCCACAGUGGAACUGAGACACGGCCCAGACUCCUACGGGAGGCAGCAGUAGGGAAUCUUCCGCAAUGGGCGAAAGCCUGACGGAGCAACGCCGCGUGAGUGAUGAAGGUCUUCGGAUCGUAAAACUCUGUUAUUAGGGAAGAAAAAGUGUGUAAGUAACUAUGCACGUCUUGACGGUACCUAAUCAGAAAGCCACGGCUAACUACGUG
rnacentral:rRNA from 1 species